rnacentral:rRNA from 1 species
UACGUAGGGGGCAAGCGUUGUCCGGAAUCACUGGGCGUAAAGCGCGCGCAGGCGGCUGUCUACGUCCGGGGUGAAAGCCCAGAGCUCAACUCUGGGACUGCCUUGGAUACGGGAUGGCUUGAGGAUCGGAGAGGCAAGGGGAAUUCCACGUGUAGCGGUGAAAUGCGUAGAUAUCGGGAGGAACAUCAGUGGCGAAGGCGGCCUUCUGGUCCAGUACUGACACUCAAGUGCGAAAGCGUGGGGAGCAAACAGG